UACGAAGGGGGCAAGCGUUGUCCGGAUUUAUUGGGCGUAAAGAGCGUGUAGGCGGCCAUACAGGUCCGUUGUGAAAACUGGAGGCUUAACCUCCAGACGUCGAUGGAAACCGUGUGGCUAGAGUCCGGAAGAGGAGAGUGGAAUUCCUGGUGUAGCGGUGAAAUGCGCAGAUAUCAGGAAGAACACCCGUGGCGAAGGCGGUUCUCUGGGACGGUACUGACGCUGAGACGCGAAAGCGUGGGGAGCGAACAGG
rnacentral:rRNA from 1 species